UACGAAGGGGGCUAGCGUUGUUCGGAAUUACUGGGCGUAAAGCGCAUGUAGGCGGCUAUUCAAGUCGGGGGUGAAAUCCUGAGGCUCAACCUCAGAACUGCCUUCGAUACUGUGUGGCUAGAGUAUGGAAGAGGUAGGUGGAACUGCGAGUGUAGAGGUGAAAUUCGUAGAUAUUCGCAAGAACACCAGUGGCGAAGGCGGCCUACUGGUCCAUCACUGACGCUGAUGUGCGAAAGCGUGGGGAGCAAACAGG
rnacentral:rRNA from 1 species